GAUGAACGCUGACGGCGUGCCUAAUACAUGCAAGUCGAGCGAACGGACGAGAAGCUUGCUUCUCUGAUGUUAGCGGCGGACGGGUGAGUAACACGUGGAUAACCUACCUAUAAGACUGGGAUAAUUUCGGGAAACCGGAGCUAAUACCGGAUAAUAUUUUGAACCGCAUGGUUCAAAAGUGAAAGACGGUCUUGCUGUCACUUAUAGAUGGAUCCGCGCUGCAUUAGCUAGUUGGUAAGGUAACGGCUUACCAAGGCAACGAUGCAUAGCCGACCUGAGAGGGUGAUCGGCCACACUGGAACUGAGACACGGUCCAGACUCCUACGGGAGGCAGCAGUAGGGAAUCUUCCGCAAUGGGCGAAAGCCUGACGGAGCAACGCCGCGUGAGUGAUGAAGGUCUUCGGAUCGUAAAACUCUGUUAUUAGGGAAGAACAUAUGUGUAAGUAACUGUGCACAUCUUGACGGUACCUAAUCAGAAAGCCACGGCUAACUACGUG
rnacentral:rRNA from 1 species